UACGGAGGGCGCAAGCGUUAAUCGGAAUUACUGGGCGUAAAGCGCACGAAGGCGGUCUGUCAAGUCGGAUGUGAAAUCCCCGGGCGCAACCUGGGAACUGCAUCCGAAACUGGCAGGCUAGAGUCUUGUAGUGGGGGGUAGAAUUCCAGGUGUAACGGUGAAAUGCGUAGAGAUCUGGAGGAAUACCUGUGGCGAAGGCGGCCCCUUGGACAAACACUGACGCUCAGGUGCGAAAGCGUGGGGAGCAAACAGG
rnacentral:misc_RNA from 1 species